GGGUCUGUAGCUCAGGGGUUAGAGCAGAGGACUCAUAAUCCUUUGGUCGCUGGUUCGAGACCAGCCAGACCCA
rnacentral:tRNA from 1 species